UGUUUGAUGUUCUAACGUGGACCCGUGAUCCGGGUUGCGGACAGUGUCUGGUGGGUAGUUUGACUGGGGCGGUCUCCUCCUAAAGAGUAACGGAGGAGCACGAAGGUUGGCUAAUCCUGGUCGGACAUCAGGAGGUUAGUGCAAUGGCAUAAGCCAGCUUGACUGCGAGCGUGACGGCGCGAGCAGGUGCGAAAGCAGGUCAUAGUGAUCCGGUGGUUCUGAAUGGAAGGGCCAUCGCUCAACGGAUAAAAGGUACUCCGGGGAUAACAGGCUGAUACCGCCCAAGAGUUCAUAUCGACGGCGGUGUUUGGCACCUCGAUGUCGGCUCAUCACAUCCUGGGGCUGAAGUAGGUCCCAAGGGUAUGGCUGUUCGCCAUUUAAAGUGGUACGCGAGCUGGGUUUAGAACGUCGUGAGACAGUUCGGUCCCUAUCUGCCGUGGGCGCUGGAGAACUGAGGGGGGCUGCUCCUAGUACGAGAGGACCGGAGUGGACGCAUCACUGGUGUUCGGGUUGUCAUGCCAAUGGCACUGCCCGGUAGCUAAAUGCGGAAGAGAUAAGUGCUGAAAGCAUCUAAGCACGAAACUUGCCCCGAGAUGAGUUCUCCCUGACCCUUUAAGGGUCCUGAAGGAACGUUGAAGACGACGACGUUGAUAGGCCGGGUGU
rnacentral:rRNA from 1 species